rnacentral:tRNA from 1 species
GUUAUGGCUCAGUGGCUGAGUGCUUGCCUAGCAUGCAUGAGGCAUUGGGUUCGAUCCUCAGCAUCACA